GGAUUGGGAUAUUCCGACUCCUUAAGGGCCUGGCGCACAUAAGGUGUGACCUUUUCAUUCCCGUUGUUAUGGAGGGCCACAUCUGCCAGAGCCUGGAGUCUGCGAAGGCCGGGACCCGGUUCCCCGGCCCACAGUGGGGGUGUGCAAACCCGAGAGAACUGGGUUGCAAAUUCGUGAAGAAUCAGCAUCAUGUUUGGCAGCUGAGUAUUGGAGCCAGGAGCCUGCCAUGAGGUUAUAUUCCCAGAGGAUGUCAGUCCCAAGGACCAGUAGCUGCCAUCAGUUUGGAUUCUGAAAACUAACUGGCAUCAACACUGGGUGUAGAAACAUGCUUGCCUUAUGUAUCAGAGGACAUGCUCAGCAGAUCCAAGAGAUAUAUUUGGCAACUUUUUCUAGAAAAGGCACAUUGGGUAUCAUUCAUUACAUUCUUGAGUUUUUUUGGGUUUUUUUUUUUUUUUUUGAGACAGUCUUGCUGUAUUGCCCAGGCUGGAGUGUGGUGGCACAAUCACAGCUCAUUGCAUCCUCAAUCACCCAGGCCUAAGCAAUCCUCCCACCUUGUAGCUGGGACUACAGCUCACAGCACACCUGGCUAAAAUUUUUUUUUUGUUGAGACGGAUUCUCUAUGUUGCCCAGGCUGGUCUCAGGCUCCUGGGCUCAGAUGGUCCUCCUGCCUCAGCUUCCAAAGGCACAGGCCAAGUUGUAGCUUUGUCCCUUGCCAUCAUGCCCAACAAGAGGUUCUAUACCUUUUAAUGAAUUGACUUUCAUAAAUUGGUUAUGUUGGUGGGCAAAGUUCUUUAAGCUGGAAAUUGUAAAUUCCUCCUGAAAUGUUUUUUCAUGCAGUUACCAUGAACUAAUACUACAAUAAAGGAUGGUCUUGGGUGUCAAUUCUUGAAAA
rnacentral:lncRNA from 10 species